UACGGAGGGUGCGAGCGUUGUCCGGAAUCACUGGGCGUAAAGGGCGCGUAGGCGGCUCAUGAAGGCUGUGGUGAAAGUCCGGGGCUCAACCUCGGAUCGGCCGUGGCGACUCGUGGGCUGGAGCACUGUAGAGGCGGGUGGAAUUCCGGGUGUAGCGGUGGAAUGCCUAGAGAUCCGGAAGAACACCAGUGGCGAAGGCGGCCCGCUGGGCAGUGGCUGACGCUGAAGCGCGACAGCGUGGGGAGCAAACAGG
rnacentral:rRNA from 1 species